rnacentral:rRNA from 1 species
UGAUUUGCUAAAUUGCGGUCGCAAAAAGGGGGGAACCUUGGAUGCUUUUCACGUCAGUGUUUUCCAGAUAUGCGUCUGAACGUGACUAGUAAGUAUUCUCGCUCCUCUCUGUCUCCCUGGACUUCACUUCCCUGGCUUAUCAUACCGA